rnacentral:tRNA from 1 species
CGGGGUGUAGCUCAGCCAGGUUAGAGCGCACGGUUCGGGACCGUGAGGCCGGCAGUUCAAAUCUGCCCACCCCGACCA